GGAAACAGAACUCGGGUGGUUGAGUGUCUCCCUUUUAAGGAGAACGUCAGUGGUUCGAACCCACUUGUUUCCA
rfam:Rhizoctonia solani AG-8 WAC10335 unplaced genomic scaffold Scaffold_77, whole genome shotgun sequence.